GUACCAACAGCUGGUCAGCAGUGAGGAAGCAGUCAGAUACUCCUGUGCUAUCAAAGGCUACGAGCAUCUCAGAGCUCCUGAAGUCUCAGUGGAUUCUGUCACAUCGACCUGCUUUACUGUGACCUACGCUGAAGGAAGAAUGUGUUCUGAAAAGCAGACAUCAGUGAAUGAGUCCUGCUCCAUCACAUAUCCCAGAGAAGUAGGUCUACAAAGGACUCC